rnacentral:hammerhead_ribozyme from 1 species
AUCCGGCUGACGACUCCCAUAUAGGACGAAACAUACGUCCUGAAU